UCCGGUAUGGUGUAGUGGCUAACAUCGCUCGCUCUCAAUGAUUCAUUGAUCCGAGCAGCCCAGGGUUCGAUUCCCUGUACCGGAG
rfam:Cordyceps confragosa RCEF 1005 scaffold_3, whole genome shotgun sequence.